ensembl:lncRNA
AUGAUGAUGGUUUUGCUUCCUUGGAUUAUUGUUCACAAACAGCUUGUCUCACUGUCUUCUGUUCACAGAGGAGGGAAAUGUCUCAUGAGCAGCAGAACUUCUACUUCGACCAGGCUCACAAGGAACAGAGGCUCCACGAGCAGCAGCACCCGGGCUGGGUCCCCAACUACAACCGCAAGGCAAAACGCAUUAAGAAGGAGCCGGACACCAGCUCUGCAGUGUCCAGCAGCACAGGAGGAGCAGCCGCAGCCAGUGACCAACAUCUGGAAUAUCUUUUUAAAAAUCCUUUGUUGUGUUCACUUUUCUAGGGUUUUAUUGUUUAUAAACUCAAUAGAUUUUAGCAUCAUUUGUUUGACAUUCAGACCGAUGAUGGGUUUAAAUAGAAUUAUAAUUUCUAUCUUAGUCUUUUAGAAAGCUUCAAGAUUUAGGUUCCCAGACUGAUGGGAUUUAUCUGAAAUUGCAUUUGUUUAAAAGUCCUGUGAGUCGGUCGCUCAGACCUCAGGCCCAGGUCUGAGACAGUCUCUAGGGGCCCUGAGGUUGUCCUGUAGGAUGCAAACUCUAUUUAUCUAAACAGAGGCUGUUCAGGAAAAUAUCUGUAACUAAUAAGUACCAAUAAUGUAUAAUGUUAAUGAUUGUGUGUGUGUGUGUGUGUGUGUGUGUGUGUGUGUGUGUGUCCAUAUGGAGAAUAAUACAUCUAUUUUGUUUUAACAAACAAAACAAUUUUUCUGAAUGUGAACCAAGAACCUUCUCAGUCUGACCGUUCUCUCUGCUAGUUGAAUCUGUCUUUUCAGUGAGUGUUUUAUUAACCUCUGACCCCAUGACCCCCUCAUCUUCUCAUGUGGUGUUGUUUUGUUUUUGUAGCUCAAAGACGAAGGCGCAGCAAACUUUACCUGACCGUCAGUCAGUUCCAUGCAGACGUUGAACGUCCAUUCUGCUGCUGUAACCCGCUACCUCUGUAAGACCGAGCCAUCUAAAGCAGCUGGACCAGACAGAAUCCCAGGGUGUGUUUCUUUCUUCUGCUGCUCCUUUCAGGAUGCCCUCACCUCACCAUGGGUAGGUCAAUCUGUUGUUUGUGUUUUUUUUAUUCCAGACUCCUGCUUAAAGCUCUGCAACUAUCGCCUCUCCACUGUCCCUCUCUUCUGGAUUCACCUGACCUCCCUUUCAUCACAUUCCUGGACCACUGGACUCUUGGACACCAAGACCUCAGAAGCCCUGAACCUGUGGACUCUUUGAACACCUGGAACUUUGGACAUUCUGAACCCUGAACACUUGGACAUAGUGCAGCCAGGACAUCUCUCCUCUUCCCUAGACCAGCUAUGAGGUUCUGAAAUCUUCAUGCGUCUUCCAUCCCCUUUCCGAUAAAUUCUAAUGAAUCCACAUCCUGCUGGGCUGAGGGAGAGACAUUUCACCAAAACCUUUAAAUAAACUUUUUAAACGUUUUAUCUUUCCUGAGUUUUCUGUUUUCUACACUUCAGUUCAUAGUCAAACCUGAAAACUUGGCAAUGAACUUGUUUAAGUGUUGGAGCUUUUCUUAUUAUAGUUUUACUUUGUCUAAAUCUGAACCAUGAGGUUUGUUUUAUUUCUAUAGUCAGUUUACAACAGCUACAGCUGAACCAAGCUGCUUCACAAGGCGAGGAACAGAUUAAAACACAAUUUAAAAAAAUCACCAUAAUUAGACAGACAAUAGUUACCAUCAGGUAAUAUGAAAUGUUUAUUUAACUCUUAAAUAACAACUCAUAGAAGUGGCUCACCAACAUUAACUAAAAGAACCAAAAACAGUUAAAAUUAAAUAGGAAAAUUAUAGUUUACGCUUAAUUAAAAGCCAUCACAUAGAAAUGUGUCUAUAAUGAUGUUUUAAAAUGAGUCUCAGCCACCCUAAUGUUCACUUAGUCCAUUCCACAACCUGAGACCCACCACUGAAAAAGCCUGAUCACCGAGGGACCUCAGGUAGAUGAUUCUGAGUACUGGGUCCCAGAUCUAGUGUGAGCAUUGAAUCGUUAAAAUCUCAGAUGAAUAAAUAGGGUAGGACCAUUAACCAUUAAAACACAGGAAGCAAGUGCUGGGACUCCAACCUUUCUGGGACUCAAAGGGCAGCUGUAGCUGAUGAAUGGUUGACAGUUCAAGCCCACAGUAAUCCAGUCUGCAGGAAAUAAAGUGGUUGAUCAGUUGUUCAAAGACAUUCAGAUGGAGAUGGAGCUGUCUAAAAAAACAACCCUUCAAAACUGAAUGUAUGCUGGAUGUGCUCAAAGAGAAUCGUGCUUGACUGUAGUGAAAUAGUAAGUAAAAAUAAAGGUUAAUGAAUGGGCUUUAACAAAUAAAAUGUAAGCAUUUAAAACUGGGUUUUACACCUAUGAUGGGCACAUCAGGAUCAGAGGAAAUGACCAUAAUGAGUAAUUUAACCAUUGAAUUUAUAAUCUAUUUAACCUGUCAGCUAUGUCCUCGUUCAGGCGCAGACAAGCUAUGCCACCAUCAGGGCCUGCUUCCUCUCCGGCCCCACCAGACAGGUCUGCUAGGGCUAUAUGCCCUGAUUUUAAAGUGUCUUUCUGUGUUUUUUCUGAGGGAUCUCGGGGUUGGAACACCAAGCCUCAUCGAAUGUGUGCCGACUGCUUCCGGGCCCGGAAGAGACGGGCACGGCACCAGCCACACAUAGACGGACAAC